rnacentral:rRNA from 1 species
UACGAGAGCCUCGAGCGUUAUCCGGAAUUAUUGGGCGUAAAGGGUGCGUAGGUUGUUCUGUUAGUCUUUUGUUAAAUACCUGGGCUCAACCUGGGAAGCGCAAAAGAAACGGCAGAACUUGAAAGUGCGAGAGGCGUACGGAACUCAUGGUGUAGGGGUGAAAUCCGUUGAUAUCAUGGGGAACACCAAAUGCGAAGGCAGUACGCUGGCGCAUAUUUGACACUGAAGCACGAAAGCGUGGGUAGCGAAUGGG